AGCGAACGCUGGCGGCGGGCCUAACACAUGCAAGUCGAACGAACCCUUCGGGGUUAGUGGCGGACGGGUGAGUAACACGUGGGAACGUGCCUUUAGGUUCGGAAUAACUCAGGGAAACUUGUGCUAAUACCGAAUGUGCCCUUCGGGGGAAAGAUUUAUCGCCUUUAGAGCGGCCCGCGUCUGAUUAGCUAGUUGGUGAGGUAAUGGCUGACCAAGGCUACGAUCAGUAGCUGGUCUGAGAGGAUGACCAGCCACAUUGGGACUGAGACACGGCCCAAACUCCUACGGGAGGCAGCAGUGGGGAAUCUUGCGCAAUGGGCGAAAGCCUGACGCAGCCAUGCCGCGUGGAUGAUGAAGGUCUUAGGAUUGUAAAAUCCUUUCACCGGUGGAGAUAAUGACUGUAGCCGGAGAAGAAGCCCCGGCUAACUUCGUGCCAGCCGCCGCCGUAAAAC
rnacentral:rRNA from 1 species